rnacentral:lncRNA from 1 species
GUAAGUAUUAACAUGUUAAUUAUGUGUUAUAGUAUUAUAGUAUUAACAUGUAUUAUUUAUUUGCACCCGCUAGAAAUAAUAACUCUGUCCUAUUAAUGAUGUGAUGGAAGUGCUAUUUAAUAUAAAGUAUAUAUAUGAGUAUAGAUAGAUUAUAUAAAUUAUGACAAGAUGACUGCAGAAAGAGAACCGUUAAAAUAUAAACUAAAGAUAAUUUAUUUUAAAUGUUUUUCUACAACUACAAUUAUAGCAUAAAUUUUUUCCACAGCGAUUGAGAAGUCUACUCUCCGCUCCCUACGCCUCCUUGCAUUUUCCAUCAUGAAAAUAUCCUCAGACUUUUGUAGAAUCUCAAACUUGAUUUUUUCUGCAUGAAGCUGCGCAGUCAUUUUAUCUCUUUGUUUCUUCUCUUUGGCUCUUUGUUCCUUAUUUUUUUUCUAUACAAAAUAAUAAUAAAUUAAAUAAAUAAAAGUACGUCAAAACAAAAGAGAUAAGUAAAAGAGAGAAAAGAGAAAUAAAAAUUUUUUUAUUCUUCUUCAGGAUUGAAAGAUGAAAACACGACAACAGGCCUAUUACUAGUUUGGAGAGAAGGUGAUGGAGUGGAAAGAGGAGAAACUGAUGGAGCGAAAGAGGAGUAGCUGAUGGAGUGGAAAGGGGAGAGGGGUUCGUCCCUUUAUAUAGUGUCGAUAAUGCAUUCUAAUUUGUCAAAAUGUUAUCAAAAUGUUAUGUCGAUAUAAUGGUCAGCUUGGCCGCAUGGAGAUCAAGGUCUUAGAAGGCUCGUUGUUUCCAAUCCAACGUUCAACAAUAAGUCCUGUUUAGAUAACCCUGAAAAUGUAACAUAAUUAAACUACAAUAAAAUGGUAGAAAAAUUUAUUGUUGUGAGGAUUGAGAUGUUUAUGGUGUAUUUUGGUGCUUUUUAGUAAUUUUAAUUUUAAAUUUAACAUUUUAAUUUUAAAUUUUAAUACUUAAAAUUUAGCGUGUAAAAUAAAAAAUAAAAAAUAAAAUUAAAAUUAACAUGUAAUAAUUAGAGAUGCUUUAUAAAAUUACAUGUAUUAUAAAAUUAAAAUUAAUAUGUAUUAUUUUGGGGGCUUAUAAAAUUAAAUAACAUGUAAAAUUAAAAUA